rfam:Oceanobacillus oncorhynchi strain Oc5 genome assembly, contig: CONTIG000001
CUCUUAUUUGGAGAUGGUGGAGGGACAGUCCCGAUGAAGCCCAGCAACCUCACUUGAAGUGAAAGGUGCUAACCUGAUGCAAGGAUCAUUCCUUGAACAAUAAGAG